rnacentral:rRNA from 1 species
GAAAGUAAGAAAGGGCGUAUGGCGGAUGCCUAGGCUCACGGAGGCGAUGAAGGACGUGAUAAGCUGCGAUAAGCUUCGGGUAGGUGCAAAUAACCCUUGAUCCGGAGAUUUCCGAAUGGGACAACCUAGCCGUCUGAAGGACGGUUACUAGCACUUAAGUGUUAGAGCUAACGCAGGGAACUGAAACAUCUUAGUACCUGUAGGAAGAGAAAAUAAAUGAAUGAUUCCCCCAGUAGUGGCGAGCGAACGGGGAACAGCCCAAACCAGUGGCGUCGCAAGGCGUGGCUGGGGUUGUAGGACCGCAACAUUGUAUGCAAAUCGUGAACAGAACACUUUGGAAAAUGUGACCAUAGACGGUGAUAGUCCAGUAUGUGAAGCGAAAUGCAGCAUAGCGGUAUCCUGAGUAACGCGGGACACGAGGAAUCCUGCGCGAAUCUGCCGGGACCAUCCGGUAAGGCUAAAUACUCCCGUGAGACCGAUAGCGAACGAGUACUGUGAAGGAAAGGUGAAAAGAACCCCGAGCAGGGGAGUGAAAUAGUUCCUGAAACCAUACGCCUACAAGCGGUCGGAGCAUCUUACGAUGUGACGGCGUGCCUUUUGCAUAAUGAUCCUACGAGUUACCGUCACUGGCGAGGUUGAGUGUCAUGAGACACGUAGCCGCAGUGAAAGCGAGCCUGAACAGGGCGCAUAGUCAGUGGGGGUAGACGCGAAACCAAGUGAUCUACACUUGGCCAGGAUGAAGUCCCGGUAACACGGGAUGGAGGUCCGCACCAAUAAGCGUUGAAAAGCUUCUGGAUGAGCCGAGUGUAGGAGUGAAAGGCCAAUCAAACUUGGAGAUAGCUCGUACUCCCCGAAAGGCAUUUAGGUGCCGCGUCGGAUGGUCACCGUGAGAGGUAGAGCGACCGAUAGGACAAGAGGGCUUCACCGCCUAUCGAGUCCUGACGAACUCCGAAUGCUCACGGUCUGCAGUCCGGCAGUAAGGGGGCGGGUGCUAAGGUCCGUCCCCGAGAGGAGAAGAAUCCAGACCGCCGUCUAAGGUCCCGGAGUUCUGCCUGAGUUAGUCUAACGAAGUCUGGUCCCUAUGACAGCUAGGAUGUUGGCUUGGAAGCAGCCAUUCAUUCAAAGAGUGCGUAACAGCUCACUAGUCGAGAGACCGGGCAUGGAUAAUAAUCGGGUAUUAAGUCAGAUACCGAAGGCACGGGGUAGCAGAGUAAUGAAAAGUACCGGUAGGGGAGCAUUCCACCUCCGUCGAAUGGUUUCCGUGAGGAUUCCUGGAGGGCGUGGAAAAGCAAAUGUAGGCAUAAGUAACGACUAGGGGCGUGAGAACCGCCCCCGCCGCAAGUCUAAGGUUUCCCGGGCGAUGCCAGUCAGCCCGGGGUCAGUCGGGUCCUAAGGCUCAGCCGAACGGCGAGGCCGAUGGCAGACACGGUUAAUAUUCCGUGACCCUCUGCUGGAGCGACGUGGAGACGGAGCAGUGACACCACCGCGCCCUGACGGAAUAGGGCGUUGAAGGCCGUAGGUGCUGACGGAGGCAGGCAAAUCCACCUCCAGAGCUGAAAGCCGACAGUACGCUUCCUCCUUCGGGAGGCGGCGACAGCGUGGGUAACCAUACUUCCUAGAAAAUCCGCUAAGCAUAUCCAUCUGAGGCCCGUACCGCAAUCCGACACAGGUAGACGGGUAGAACAUACUGAGGCGUUGGGAGAUUCAUGGCUAAGGAACUAGGCAAACUGACCCCGUAACUUCGGGAUAAGGGGUCCUCACGGCAACGUGAGGCGCAGAGAAUAGGCCCAGGCAACUGUUUAACAAAAACACAGGGCUGUGCAAACUCGAAAGAUGAUGUAUACAGCCUGACACCUGCCCGGUGCCGGAAGGUUAAGAGGAGGAGUCAGCCCCUUGUGGGUGAAGCCCCGAGUUGAAGCCCCGGUAAACGGCGGCCGUAACUAUAACGGUCCUAAGGUAGCGAAAUUCCUUGUCGGGU